rnacentral:rRNA from 1 species
CCUACGGGUGGCAGCAGUGGGGAAUAUUGGACAAUGGGCGAAAGCCUGAUCCAGCCAUGCCGCGUGUGUGAAGAAGGCCUUCGGGUUGUAAAGCACUUUCAGUGGGGAAGAAAGCCUUGGGGCUAAUACCCUCGAGGAAGGACAUCACCCACAGAAGAAGCACCGGCUAACUCCGUGCCAGCAGCCGCGGUAAUACGGAGGGUGCGAGCGUUAAUCGGAAUUACUGGGCGUAAAGCGCGCGUAGGCGGUCUGAUAAGCCGGUUGUGAAAGCCCCGGGCUCAACCUGGGAACGGCAUCCGGAACUGUCAGGCUAGGGUGCAGGAGAGGAAGGUAGAAUUCCCGGUGUAGCGGUGAAAUGCGUAGAGAUCGGGAGGAAUACCAGUGGCGAAGGCGGCCUUCUGGACUGACACUGACGCUGAGGUGCGAAAGCGUGGGUAGCAAACAGGAUUAGAUCCCGAGUAGUC